GUGGAAGUCUUCAUAUGGCGCACCACUGAGCAGUGUGUUGCCACCAGGGACUCCACAUAGAGUAAGGCUGGAUCCUGCCGACAGGGCCUGUAAAGGCGUUGGUUUCCCUGUGCGAUGGUUCCAUACAUU
rnacentral:snoRNA from 1 species